rnacentral:rRNA from 1 species
CCAGACUCCUACGGGAGGCAGCAGUGGGGAAUAUUGGGCAAUGGGCGCAAGCCUGACCCAGCAACGCCGCGUGAAGGAAGAAGGCUUUCGGGUUGUAAACUUCUUUUAAGAGGGAAGAGCAGAAGACGGUACCUCUUGAAUAAGCCACGGCUAACUACGUGCCAGCAGCCGCGGUAAUACGUAGGGGGCAAGCGUUAUCCGGAUUUACUGGGUGUAAAGGGAGCGUAGACGGUUCUGCAAGCCAGAUGUGAAAGCCCGGGGCUCAACCCCGGGACUGCAUUUGGAACUGUAAGGCUAGAGUGUCGGAGAGGCAGGCGGAAUUCCUGGUGUAGCGGUGAAAUGCGUAGAUAUCAGGAGGAACACCGGCGGCGAAGGCGGCCUGCUGGACCGCGACUGACGUUGAGGCUCGAAAGCGUGGGGAGCGAACAGGAUUAGAUACCCUAGUAC